UGGGCUAUCGCCAAACGGUAAGGCACUGGAUUCUGAUUCCAGCAUGUGAAGGUUCGAAUCCUUCUAGCCCAG
rnacentral:tRNA from 2 species